rnacentral:rRNA from 1 species
GUGAGGAAUAUUGCGCAAUGCUCGUAAGAGUGACGCAGCGACGCCGCGUGAAUGACGAAGGCCUUCGGGUCGUAAAGUUCUUUCGACAGGGAAGAAAAUGCCUAUAAGUAACUGUGUAUGUAUUGACGGUACCUGUAUAAGCAGCCCCGGCUAACUCCGUGCCAGCAGCCGCGGUAAUACGGAGGGGGCGAGCGUUGUUCGGAGUGACUGGGCGUAAAGAGCACGUAGGCGGUGUUGUAAGUCAUUAGUCAAAGACUAGAGCUCAACUUUAGUAAGGCUAGUGAUACUAUAAUACUAGAGUAUCAGAGAGGAUUGCAGAAUUCCUGGUGUAGCGGUGAAAUGCGUAGAUAUCAGGAGGAAUACCGUUAGCGAAGGCGGCAAUCUGGCUGGAAACUGACGCUGAGGUGCGAAAGCGUGGGUAGCAAACAGG